UUCCGGUUGAUCCUGCCGGACCCGACUGCUAUUUGGGUGAGGAUAAACCAUGCGAGUUGUAUGGGAUACCUAAAUUUCCCAUAGCAAACUGCUUAGUAACACAUGAUCAACUUACCCUAUGGAGAAAUAUAACCUCGGGAAACUGAGGAUAAUGCUUCAUAGUUGAAUAGGCUUGGAAAAGUUUUUCAAUAAAAGGGAUAAGAAAAAUGGUUCUUAUCUGCCAUAGGAUAGGAUCGUGCUCGAUUAUGGUUGUUGGUGAGGUAACGGCUCACCAAGCCGAUAAUCGAUAGGGGCCGUGAGAGCGGGAGCCCCAAGAUGGGUACUGAGACAGCGACCCAGGCCUUACGAGGCGCAGCAGGUACGAAACCUCCGCAAUACACGAAAGUGUGACGGGGUUACCCAAAGUGUUCUUAUAGAACUGUGGCAGGUGAGUAAUGUCCCCUGCUAGAAAGGAGAGGGCAAGGCUGGUGCCAGCCGCCGCGGUAAAACCAGCUCUUCAAGUGGUCGGGAUAAUUAUUGGGCUUAAAGUGUCCGUAGCCGGUUUAGUAAGUUCCUGGUAAAAUCAGGUAGCUUAACUAUCUGUAUGCUAGGAAUACUGCUAUACUAGAGGGCGGGAGAGGUCUGAGGUACUACAGGGGUAGGGGUGAAAUCUUAUAAUCCUUGUAGGACCACCAGUGGCGAAGGCGUCAGACUGGAACGCGCCUGACGGUGAGGGACGAAAGCCAGGGGAGCGAACCGGAUUAGAUACCCGGGUAGUCCUGGCCGUAAACGAUGCAUACUAGGUGAUGGUACGGCCAUGAGCCGUGUCAGUGCCGUAGGGAAACCGUUAAGUGUGCCGCCUGGGAAGUACGGUCGCAAGGCUAAAACUUAAAGGAAUUGGCGGGGGAGCACCACAAGGGGUGAAGCCUGCGGUUCAAUUGGAUUCAACGCCGGA
rnacentral:rRNA from 1 species